GAAACAACCCAGACCGCCAGCUAAGGUCCCAAAUUACUACUAAGUGGGAAACGAUGUGGGAAGGCUCAGACAGCCAGGAUGUUGGCUUAGAAGCAGCCAUCAUUUAAAGAAAGCGUAAUAGCUCACUGGUCGAGUCGGCCUGCGCGGAAGAUGUAACGGGGCUAAGUAGUAAACCGAAGCUGCGGCAAUAUACUUUUGUAUAUUGGGUAGGGGAGCGUUCUGUAAGCCUGUGAAGGUGUGCUGUGAGGCAUGCUGGAGGUAUCAGAAGUGCGAAUGCUGACAUAAGUAACGAUAAAGCGGGUGAAAAGCCCGCUCGCCGGAAGACCAAGGGUUCCUGUCCAACGUUAAUCGGGGCAG
rnacentral:rRNA from 1 species